CCUGGUGGCCUAGAGGUUAAAGCGUCUGCCUGCAAUGCAGGAGACCUGGGUUCGAUCCCUGGGUCAGGA
rnacentral:tRNA from 1 species